GAUGAACGCUAGCGGCAGGCUUAACACAUGCAAGUCGAGGGGCAGCAGACCAUUUCGGUGGUGCUGGCGACCGGCGCACGGGUGAGGAACGCGUUUGUAACCUACCUUUAACUGGGGGAUAGCCCGAAGAAAUUCGGAUUAAUACCCCAUAAUAUCCUGACAGGGCAUCCUGUCUCGAUUAAAGCUCCGGCGGUUAAAGAUGGGCAUGCGUGACAUUAGCUGGUUGGUGAGGUAACAGCUCACCAAGGCUACGAUGUCUAGGGGGUCUGAGAGGAUGAUCCCCCACACUGGUACUGAGACACGGACCAGACUCCUACGGGAGGCAG
rnacentral:rRNA from 1 species